rnacentral:rRNA from 1 species
ACCUGCCCCUGUGCGGGGGAUAACAGGAGGAAACUCCUGCUAAUACCGCAUAGCCAUGAGCACCGCAUGGAGCUCAUGCCAAAUAUCCUUUCGGGGAUAGCGCAGGGAUGGACCUAUGGCGCAUUAGCUGGUUGGCGGGGCAACGGCCCACCAAGGCAACGAUGCGUAGCCGGCCUGAGAGGGCGGACGGCCACAUUGGGACUGAGACACGGCCCAGACUCCUACGGGAGGCAGCAGUAGGGAAUUUUCGGCAAUGGGGGAAACCCUGACCGAGCAACGCCGCGUGAGCGAAGAAGGCCUUCGGGUCGUAAAGCUCUGUUGUAAAGGAAGAACGGCGCAUACAGGAAAUGGUAUGCGAGUGACGGUACUUUACCAGAAAGCCACGGCUAACUACGUGCCAGCAGCCGCGGUAAUACGUAGGUGGCGAGCGUUAUCCGGAAUCAUUGGGCGUAAAGAGGGAGCAGGCGGCCGCAAGGGUCUGUGGUGAAAGACCGAAGCUAAACUUCGGUAAGCCAUGGAAACCGGGCGGCUAGAGUGCGGAAGAGGAUCGUGGAAUUCCAUGUGUAGCGGUGAAAUGCGUAGAUAUAUGGAGGAACACCAGUGGCGAAGGCGACGGUCUGGGCCGCAACUGACGCUCA